rnacentral:rRNA from 1 species
CCUACGGGAGGCAGCAGUGGGGAAUAUUGCUCAAUGGGGGAAACCCUGAUGCAGCGACGCCGCGUGAAGGAAGAAGUAUUUCGGUAUGUAAACCUCCAUUAGCAGGGAAGAAAAUGACGGUACCUGACUAAGAAGCCCCGUCUAAAUACGUGCCAGCAGCCGCGGUAAUACGGAGGGGGCAAGCGUUAUCCGGAUUUACUGGGUGUAAAGGGAGCGUAGGCGGUUUAGCAAGUCAGAAGUGAAAGCCCGCGGCUCAACUACGGGACUGCUUUUGAAACUGUUGGACUAGAUUGCAGGAGAGGUAGGUGGAAUGCGUGGUGUAGCGGUGAAAUGCGUAGAUAUUAGGAGGAACACCGGUUGCGAAGGCAGCUUACUGAGCUAUAACUGACGCUGAGGCACGAAAGCGUGGGGAGCAAACAGGAUUAGAUACCCCAGUAGUC